rnacentral:lncRNA from 1 species
AUGAAUAGGAGCAAGCCUGGCUCAUAGCAAUCAACAAAAAUGAUUAUAUAUAUCAUAAAUGGCAGAGCAAUAAUGUUGCGAGGAACAUGUAGUCUGGUUAGUGGAAAAUGAAGAAGUAACAUAGCAGCUGCCCGAACUCUGAGCUGCCUUAAAUUUACUAGGCUAAAUUAGAAGAUCUUUUAUCAUCCCUACGUGCCACUCUAGUUAUUUCGCCUCCCAA